GAACAUCACAAACACUGAAAUAAAGAACAUGGCGAGGUUCCUAAGCCCAAAAUUGAGCUAUGGAUCCCCUCCAGGCUCAGGAAUGUUUUGAGUUUCUUCCAGUUACCCAAGCCAGGUCUUCAGCUGCUGUGAAUAAGCAGCAGUGGGGUUGCUGUGCCCAAGCUCCUGUUCCCCAUCCUCUCCAAGGAGAAGGCACGGAGCCAGGCCCCGCCGCGGGUCAGGUCCAGCCCACAAGCCGCCAGCUGCAGCUCCGCGGUCUCUCCCGACCACGGAGCAUUUGCAAGACUCUCCGCCGAGCUUCCUGCCAUCCCAGCGGGGCCAGCGGGGAGGCGGCUGGGCUGCCAGGGUGCCUGCGGAGCGCAGCCCGCCAUGGGGCUGGGUGCUGUGCCAGCUCCAUCGCCGCCGUGGCUCUGAGGAGGUGCAGCAAAGGGGCGACGCUGAAAAUCAAGGAGUGCAAUUCUUUAAUCUUACUUCAGCUUGUGAAGCUUCCCCUGCAGUAAACUGAUUCAGUGGAGGGUCUCUGCCCGCAUGCGAAUGAAGAGCUUGACCUGGCGAGUGCAAAUGAGCACUAGGCUUUGUCUGCAGGAACAAGUUGUUAUGGUUCAUUUUAAAACCCUGAAGGAGGCACAGGAUGUCGAAGGAAAACACACUGUAGGGCUGAAUGAAUGGGGCAUCAAUUUCCUUGACAGAGAUGUCCUGCCUGGCUGCUUUGCUCUUCUUGUAUUUUUGAUUCACAUUUGGUGCCUGUGAUAGUGGGACCUCUGCCAGGUGUUGCUACAGGCACUCAUAGUGAAUGGCUUCAAGUGUGAAAUCAACCCAGUUUUCUCUUUUUACAGAGUAGGGAACUCUCUUUUGUGAUCCAAACAAACCUUGAAGAAGGCUUCAAGCCAACUUCGUCACUGUUUGUUCUUACGUAACUAGACUAGGAACACUCAGUACCCAGAAGUAACAACAAUUCUCCUAUAUACCCAAAAAACUACAUUUACCUUGAACUUUAUCAGCAGCAAAAGCCUGUCAUCUUUGGAAAUCAUCCACUAGAACUGCCCAAGAAAACUUAUCUAUUACUUUUGGGUGCCAACAACAAUGGACUUGAUAUUGUCUGCACUUAUCAGAACGGAUUUGUUACCCAAGAUGCAGAUAAUAAUAAACAAUUCCUUGCCUAGUGGGUCCAAACGUAUUUCUGCUGAACUAAAGUGACUUUUUAUAUUAUAUCCAUGCAUGAAGCCCAUGGCUUUAGGAAUCCAAAGCAAUUAUCCUCUGCAUUCAUUCUUCAGGGCACAAAUGAGCACAGCCGAAACCUGUCCACAGGGAUCAGCCUCCACUUUUGCCUAUGGUUAGAGCAAACAAUGCAGAAGCCACAGUCCCCUCUUGCCUCCUCGCUGAUGUUCUUUCAGAUGGCACCACAUCCAAAUUAGCUGUGUUACCCUUGGCACCAGAAUCGCACCCAGUCUGCAGCAGGAGCACCUGAAGAUUCCAAGCUUGAUCACCACAGGACCGAGGUCCUCCAGGAGGAGCUCCAGGGUGAUGGAUCCUGACAGCAUCAGCCCCAGAUCAGACAGUGCUGCCACUGAGGGACCCCCAGGGCCAAAUCCCUUCCCUUGCUCACCAGGGUCACUCUGACGGCUACAGGCUUAGCCUAAAUCCUGGGUGGCAUCCACUGCUAAAAAAUAGAGGAGAAAAAAAACCCGCCACCCACGUUGUGGAGUUAUCACUGGAGAGUCAUCUCCCCAGGGAAGGAGGGGAGCUUGGAGGCAGGACCCCCAGCUCUGACAGAAGGGCUCCUCUGCACCCAGCCAAAGGCAGGUGGGCACGAAUGGGCUCGGGCACCACAGGGGAGGCUUCACACCACCUGAUUUCAGCAUCUGACUUUGGGGUCAUUAGAAAGACACCAAGUGAACAAGCUGUAUUUCCCAUCAGGGAGCUCCUGGUACAGGAGUCCCCAGUGGUGUGUGGUGGGUGCCUGCAAAUGGGUGCUUCAGAGGACCUCACUGCAUCCCUGGCAGAGCCUGCAGCAGGCUGAGUGCCCUGCAGCAAAGCACCCCCCAUCCCAGACAACAGAGAGCAGCUGUUUGCCAGGUAUCGCAAUUGCUCUGAAAUUGCUGGUUUGUUUUUUUCCUUAGUGGCUUACAAAAAAAAUCUGACAAGCAUCUGUAAGCAGCUGCCACCCCGAGCCGGCCCAGGCACUGCAGGGCGACCCCCAAGCACAGGCUGCUUCUGGGCAAGCUGCAAAGCCAGGCUCUCCUCCUGAAGCUGUUAACAAAUUUAUAACUGCUCCAAACCAGCACAGAGGGAGAACUGUAACACGUACUCACCGCCGGGUUACACACACACAGCCCCAACUGCUGGGUGACAGUCAAGCACAAGUCCCAGAAUGUUUAACCUGCAUAAAGGGCUUUAAGUUUAAAAUGAAAUGAAAUAAAAACAGCAUUUAACUGCACAUACAGCUUGCUACCACCUCUGGUGGCCAAGCCAAAAGUAUUAGGUCGAGUUAACUUUGGCUGACACUGCAGCAUUUACUGUUUAAUUUCCUGAUACUUAAAAAAUAAUUUUUUAAAAAUAUCUGUAUCUUGAAUAUAUCUGUGUUACUGGGAACAGCUCCUUAUUUCUUUAACAACAGCUGUGUUUUUGAAUUCACAUUUCACAGAUUUUUCUUCUUCUAAACUCAAUGCCAUCCAGCAGCACCCACAGCAUCUUGGCAUAAACCUCCCUCCCUUGGACAAAUAUGUCACCAGACAUUUCUGGCAGGCUGUCCUCUCACAGAUAACUGGCAUGCCAAGCUAAGAAUAGGAUUAGCUGCUUCUCUAGCUACUUUGUCCAGGUGCCUGCAAAAGAUCAUUCUGUGUGGCAGUUCAGCUUCUCGGAGGGAGAAUGCAGGGCUGGGCUGCACCUCUGGCAAAUUAUGUGGAAGCAUGUGGAAGCACGCAUGGGUGUUUGAGUCAAACACGUCAAAAAUCAGUGCUGAGCAUCAGACUUCAGCUGUCUGGUGAUCCCUGGCUACUGAAAAAAAAAACACCACCAAAAACCAAACACAAAAACCCAAGAAAACCCACCAACCCCUUCCCAAAUAUUUUAUUAUGGGACAGUCAAAAAAAGUAUGCUUCCUCAGCCGUCUGGCUCUAGUUAUUGUCAUAAAAAAUGUAUCCAGAUUACAGGAGAUCCAAGAGUAUGGUCCAAGGUGUGACUUCUUUUUAGGCACAACUGCCUACAAUUCUUUUGUGCCUGAUACAAUACACAAACAAUCCAAAUUCUAUGUAUAAUUAAAAAGUAAAACACUCCAGGCAAACAAGUCUUCACUGGAGAGCCAGAUGUAGUGCAGGUGUGCUCAAAAGAUUCCUGAGUAGUAUUUAUCAUAAAACAUUUACAAGAGGUCCUAAAGCUUCAUGUUCUUUUGUAGCAAUAUGUAAAACAUCGCUUUUUAAAAAAAAAUCUGAAGGUGUCAAGUGGCAGGAGAUAAAAAGAUCGUAUGCCUUGAAGAGACAGCUGUGGGGAAAUAAGGAGAGAGGGGGUUUGUACAGGAAUCAAGCGUUACAAACGGCACAAAGCAAAGGAGGUCACGUACAUGUCAGACUAUACCGUGAGGCAAACGAGAGGCGAUGGCACUGGGAGAAGAAUUCAUGGACCUUGGGAUAAAGCAGUAGGAAGCAGAGUUUACUGCAGUAAGGCCAGCCAGGAGUGCCCAAGAAAGGCUGCAGCAAAGGAAGGGGAAUCGCAGCUAGGAAGGGACUACUGAUGUCUCCCCCAGGAAUUUCAAGUUGUUUCAGCCGUUAGUGCGAGGGGACUAAAUCUCUGCAACUCUCCAUUACAUGGGUGGCUGAAUAUUUCUCUGUGUGUGUGUAGUAUAUACGUAUAAUGCAUGUGUCAUGUAAAGACAGCAUGGAGAUCAGAGUUAUUUGGUGAUCAGCAAUUUUGAUUCCUUUCUGUAACUUCACUUCCUCUGACUUCUUCUGAAGAGAUCUGCAGCCUCUCCGCCAACAUGCAGUGGCGCAACUGGAAGAAAAUAACUCCAUGCAAAAAUAUCCACUUUGUCAAGUGGAGGCUUCCUCUCCCUGUGUGCGUGCAAGGACGCAAUUCCCCUCCCAUUUGUCCCGGGGACAUCAAUUGUCCCCCAGAACAGCCGCCUGGCCAGACUCUGAUUAGGUUCCAGCCACCUUACCAGCUUGCCAAGCACGCACAAUUAAGAUCUCAACACCAGCCUACAUCCUCACCUUAUCCCCGCUCCAAUAUUUCCCUGAUGUUUUUUCUUACGUGACUGCCUGCUGCACUUUCGGUCCAAAGUUUUGGUGGGGACAUGAGCCCCCUGGAGAGAGAAAACAAAGUAAGAGCUCCCUGCAGCUUGGCCCAGCUCCCAGCCAGAUAAGGCUCCCCGUGCCGUGCGGGGACCGACGUGCCACCGCUGCCCUUGCGGCACUGCUAUCCGCUGCGGGGCUGCACACCGUGGCUGCUCACCGCUUCGUGAUAAACAUGUGGCAACAGCUGUUUCCACAUACACAAAGGGACCGAGGGCUACGAUAAGGGACUGAAAUUCUCCCUGCCAAAAGGGAGACGCCAACAGACGAGCUUGAGGGGGCACCACUUGAGGUGGCCAAACACGCACAGUUAAACGACUGUUUCCAGCAGGUAGGAGGAAGGGAUAGAAAAGUGACCUUUCCCAUUAAGAAUUACAUACUUGUUUUGUUUCCCUACAAGUUCAUUUUUCUGGCAUCAUGACAUGUAAAACAUUUUGAACUUUCUAAGGGAACUGUUAUUAAAGCACUGAACGUUACUGUGAGGGCACAUUUAACAAACAGAACAAUUAGGCAUUUCAAAGUUUAUCUAACUUAGCCACCGGUAUCUUUCAGAUUUGUCACCACUAAAUGCACCCAGUUUGGGGGCCUGUUUAAUGAUUCCUAUAGACGAUACACCUGCCCAUAGGAAGAAGAGACCUCUUGAAAAUUUAUUAUUGCCUAGAAGCUGCCCUCCACCUCCCUGCUGCAGUCUGUUCGUGCGCAUCCUGAAAAAGGAAAGCUUCCUGAGACAAGGGCAUUCUGUUUAAGCCUCGAUAGUCCAAACCUUUAGGGACUCACCGAGAGCAGCUCUGCAGGGCCAGGGGUCCAGCAGCCCCAGGUACACACACAGAGCCACAACACUGGCAAAGUGACAGCGGAAACUGAAUCUCUCAGGGAACAACACGAUGCUGUGUUCCUUGCUUUCAUUAUAAUUCACCAUUCCAGCUCAACUUCUACCAAGUUUCCCAGAAAAAUUUUGCAGAGCCACUGCCAAUGUUUAAGGCUCUCCAAAAAUUCAGCCAGACAGAAGAGGAAAUUCCACGCAGCACACAGAAAGUCUGAAGGAGGGGUUUCUGCUAGAUAACAGGAAAAAUGUGGCUGAGCUUGGGCUGGCAUUUCCCUAACCACUUGCAUGAACUUCUCAAAGGUGUUCAAAUAGGAGGUUUCCUAUUGAUGCCAAGGGACUGCCUGAAGAGAAUGGCAAUUGUUAAAAAAGCACAGAAGAAUUAGAAAGGAAACACGUUUGAGAAAUGAGAAAACUAUUUUCUUCUGAGUUGCUCUACAAGAAUGUCAAUAGGGAAUUUAUUAGCUUGUUCCUACUAGGAGGGUAUUGAAGGGCAGGAUUCUGCCACAUUUCAUGCAGUCUAUGUAAGCCAAUCCACCCUGUCUUAUCUGAAGCCAAAUCACCUUUCUCCCUUUUAAAAUAAAAUGCAGAAAGUCUACUUGAAUUUUAUUCAAGGUCUUGAAGAGCACAGGUGAAGAUCCUGCUGCGCCUGAAACGUGAGGCACCUCUGACCAGUAAUGCCAGGGAGACAGAGAUAAAAGCCACGACUUCAUUGCGCUGCUGAUUAGUUACUCAACGCAAUGAACUUGAGAGUAACCAUAGGUGAAGAAAGGGCAGAGGACACGAUGGCAUUCUUUGCACAGCAGGAGCGAAGGGAACAGACGUGACUGCCGAUGGCCGUGCCGUGGCGUACAGCCAGGGCUGCAAGCAGGUGGUGAUUUUAGCUUGAGAAAGAGGGGGCGCAGGCGCCACGGUGGGGUGCGCGGGUGAUAGCACAGUGCCUAAAGGCACCGCGCGGAGCCUGCCAAGCUGUGUGUCUGUACAGCAACACUGGUUUGAGGAACUGAAGAGAGAAGGUAAAAUGGGGGGGGGGGGGGGGGGGGGGAAGAUAACAGCAAAAGAAGCUGGCGCCUAGCUUUGAUCUUAGGGAUGGAAAAGCAUGAUUCGCGGAUGGAGGCUCCACAGGUGCCAGGAGGAAGAGGAGCUUGGAUUCCAGAACAAGGGGUGGCUGCUGGAAGCAGGGUGCACCGGAGAUGCAGCCUGAAAUCCAUGGGAGAAGGAGGUUUGGCACAUGGAGGGUCUGCAGCUGCCUGUUGGAGCAUCUGCGCAAAGAAAGGUUCCCCCUGGAGUUUUUGGGAGGAAAAAAGUAAUUUUUCCUCCCAGGGUACAGUACUUUCAGUAAGAGGAUAAAAUUCACCUGGUGUUCGGCAGCCAGCAGACUCACAGCACUUUUUGAGCCCGGCAGCCCAUGUCACACGCCUCACCAGGCAGCCGAGCUGUGCCGCAGCCCAGCCAAAGGGCUGGUCGGAGGCUCCCACCGAGGGGUGGGCAGUGUCCAUCUCCAGCCAGCCCAGUGGUGGUCCAGCUCCCACCGAGGGGUGGGCGGUGUGCACCUCCAGCCAGCCCGGUGGUGGCCCAGCCCCCGCCAGGAGCCAGCGUUACUGGUGCAGUCUUAACCACCAUUUGCAGGCAUAAGAAUGAUGGACCUCCUCAAAUGACCCUGAGGCGAUCAAUUAAUCUCAGAAUGAUAAUUUCAGGAUUUCCAGAAUAACAUCAGGCAAAUCCCAGGCUGGAUGCCUCUGACCGAGGUUUGAGAAGGCUCAGGUUAGGGUUUUAUGAUUAGAAACAGGAACUCCAACACAAGCUUAGAUUCUUGCUGCAAAUAAUGUGGCUACAGAAAUCCAGAAACAGGACCCCAUCUCCCAACAGAUUUAAAAAAACACAUAAAGCAAAAAAACGCAAGAAACCAUGGAGACAUGGCAGCACGUAUGGAACUGCAAAGGGCUUCAGAGUCCAAAAAUCCAAAGUGGGAACCCAAACAGCUAGGAUUUCCAUAGAAUCCUAUUGCUUUCAUUCCCAUUCAAUGCUAAAAGUCUUUUCCAUACAGGAAAAGGAUCUGUUUAUGUUUCAUUAGUGCCAGUUUUGUAUAUACCAAUAGACUGUGUGUAUAUAGGAGAGAGGGGAGUAUGCUACGCAGCUGUGAGCUUUCUUGGCUAAUUACUUGUUUUCUCUUUCUGAGCAAUAUAAAUACAACAAAAUUCAACAGGGCAUAACAGCACAUCUAUUAAGGCUGUACGUUUUCCAUCAGACUCCAUGGGUAUUUGUCUUAGCCAUGCUUAGGCUGAGCAACCCAGUCUAUGGUAUCAUUCAUAAACAGGAGGUGCAGUGACCUGCACAAAUACAUAUACUGAACCAAAUAAAAAUAAUACCCUGACUUGACAUGAGGCAAUGUAAGGUAGUGAUGCCAGAAUGCCAGUUAAACAGACAUUGAAGUAUUUAAGAAAUAAUUGCCUCUUCAGCAUCAGCAGCAUCAAAACAUUUUGUCCUAAGUUUGGAAGCCUGUUACAUGCCCUCAACUUGAAAGUUUUUAUAGAAGACCAUAGUCUGAGCUGGGUUACUUUUUUAAAAAAAAAAAACAAAAAACACACUUUAUUUCAGCAUCAGUUUUGGUAACGAGCAAUGUUCCAUGUUCUGAGAAUGCUUUUGGAGUUCAACACACCUAAAAUGCAGUAAAACUGUGAUCUUAAAACAAAACCAUUGCAGCACUUAAUACCCUCAAGCUUAACAACACUCUGGGCAGCAGCCGAAUUACAAAGUUUUACAAGAUGAAACAAAAGAAAGUUUUCACAAAUGAUUUGCAGUCUUCUAAAUCACAGACUGUAGCAUGGGGUACUCGGUACUUGCACUGCAAAGUAACAGAUAUUUCGGGUCCCAAGCUGCCAACUGGCAAAAUCUACUGGUGCCCUUAUACUUUGGAAACUGAUCCCAGACUAGCCCUUAAAGCAGAAUGACUUGGGGAGGAUUGUCUCAUGGAACAACGAUUUAAGACAAAUUCUUGAACCUCUUACAGAUUUUGCUUGCAAGUCACCUUUCAGAUGUUGACUCCAGAGUCACACAUGUUCUGCUUCGAAGAUAGGUGACCCAUUCGUACGUGUACAUUUCCUCAUGCAUAACAGUUUGGGGAACAAAUUCAUAUUUAUAGAUGAAAACCACAUAUCUUUAAUAAGCUGUCCAUACACAAAUUAUUUUCCUUUGCAGUAAAGGACAUUGUCCCUAAAUGUUUAAAUUAAGUUAUAAAUCAGAAAACAGAAAGGAAAUAUUUUCCAUAUGUUUAAUUUUAGACCACAAUUAUUUACUAACAAAGUCUACAGAUACAUGCUGUUACCCCUAUGGGAGUUCAAACAAUAUUCUUACUAUUUAAAAUAUGUUCUUCAAUUUGCUGAUAACUGGAGACAUUUAUUAGUUCCAUAUUUCACUAGCAGUAAUUAUUGCUGGGAGCCAUACAUUCACGAUCUGUACAGAUCACAGGGAGACACCUGCGUGGAUUUAAAGCUUAGCUAGCCCUAGCAUUACUAAACUGUCUGAAAACGUUCGAUUCAUUUAAAAGAACAGGUUGCAAAUAAAACUUAGCAUCACCACUUCUUUCUCAACACAUGCCAGCGUUCGAUACAGCCCCACAGGAGCCAACGUGGCAAGCAGCUAUAUGCAGUGACAAGCCGCAGCUGUGCUUGCACAGAGGGGAACCCACUCGCUGCUCUGAGCACAGGCACAACCCACCAAACCCUGUGACUCUAUUAAACCUCCCAGACCAGGAACAAGUCUUGUUUCUUCUCGUUUGCAAACAAAGGCCCCAAAACUUUCUCUCCUCUUUCUUUCUACUCCUUCCCUACUCCCUGGGGGGCCGUGACCUGUCCCUAAAGAGACUUUACUGCACAACAGAAGCUGCAGCACAUGAAACACUGGGACACUAGGUUUCCUUCCUCAAAUCCCAGGGGAUGGGACAGCCUACCCGGCACUGAACCUUCCAUCACUUGUGCCUAGCACUUUGCUAGGGAGCAAAGAGAAAUCAGGGUGCUCUGCAGCAAAUGCUGGCACCGUCCCCACACACAGGCUGGGACAUAACACGGGAGAGAGAGGAGGGGGAAGCUCAGCAUAACUGCUUUGUCCCAUACAUCACGCGUCAGGAGAUAGCCUGGCCACAUUUGGCGUGUUUAAUUGACAUCAUACCAUGCCAGGAGUACAUCGCACAUCACUAAGUUUUAAUUGCCCCAAGAGCGUGUGACCAGCAGUAUGGUUAUUGUUGUGUGGACCCUGGAAAACACCAUAAUGCCUGAUGGAAGUGAAGAACUCAAUACAACUGCUUGAGUCAGCUAUGGUAGAGCUGAUGUUGUUUGUCCAAAACCCUUCUCUCAGGACUUGCAGAGCCCUGGCUUUUUCCAGCCCUCCCCAAGACCCCUUGUGAGAGGUGAGGCUGUUAAAGCCAGCCUGUUCACAGCUCCCUCCUGUACCUUCUGCGCCUGAUGCCAAGGGUCACCACUGAACUCGGUACAAGCAUUUGGAGCAGUUGGUCAUGUGCUGUGACCAAAAAAAAAAAAAAGUAUCAGUGUGACUGAAAAACCAUGUCACAAGAAUAAGUCACUUCUGCAUUUUCAUCUUCAGCCUAUUGAUUUUGCCACCUGAUUCUGACUGCAAUUUUUAAAUGCAUCUGAAAAACCCAAUUUAGGCAGCAUGAACCCAACUUAAGAGGUAGAAUUUUUAAACCAGCUGACAGCAAAAGCCUACAUUGCUAUUUCAGUGUGAGACCUGUGUUGCUGGAAUGCAUGCACAUAAUCAAAUUAAGACAAAAUAUUUCAUCUUAAUUCCAUGGGAGGAAGGAGCUUUAUUGUUUUGAGCAUAAUAUCACUGAAGAAUGACACACUUGUCUAAGUCUUUGGGUAUACAUAAGAGGGGAAAAAAUGAAAAAAAAGGUCCUGAGAAGCUGUAGGCUCCUACACAACAGUUACUUCUUCAAUGAUCUCCAGAUAAGUUCUUCUGUUUUUCAUGUAAAUGACUUUACUGAUGAAAACUAAGCAUUUGAAUCCCACUGCUUUCACAUGGGGUAGCCAGCAUGUUCCCUCUCAAUUUAGCUGUGAGUUCAAUAGGUAGCUACAGUACCAGGAGUUCUUGUUUUCAACUGCGUUUUAUCAUAUUUGUGUUUUGGAAAGUCUCAGAUCUUAAUCUGCUUGGGUAAACCGCCUGUAGGAAACAAGCAGCUCUCUGCAAGCAAUGCAUGCCUUUUCCCUACAACAUCAUGUCACAGCAAUGUGGUAAACACUUUCACAGUUGCAGAGAUAUUUGCAAGAAUUCCAACAAGCAGAAGUUUGCUGUGUGAAAGGACAACUUUCCCUGCAGGUUAUAACCAAGAGGUGAGGUGAAAUAACAGGAGUUAAUCUCAUGGGCUGCAAAUGCCUGCUGUAACAGGGAGCUGCAAUUAGCAAGUGCGGUGCUUAGCAGGUCUCAAGGGACCCACGUUCUGCAGCCAUCUCUUGCCCAGACCCCCUGUGCGACCACACGCGAGGGGCUUCUCCUUACCCUGGUACUCUGCCUACCUGGGUCUGUAGAUUAGUAAAACUAUACGUUGCUCGGGGAAGAGACUGCAUCAUCUCUCACUGUGCUUGCCAAUACUAAGUAGCACUGAACACUUCUGCAUCUGCAGUACUCCUAGCAUCACGGGUAAACAAUGAAUAUUUUUAAAGUUUGUAAGGAGGACAGGAAAUGCUAAUGGCUACUUCUGUGGAAUUACUGAACUGUCGACAUAGCCACUAGCAGCUAACUUUGCAAGAGGAGGUUAAGUGCCUGCAUAAGCAUUUUCAUACCUACAUGCUUUUAACUAUUGCUGAACGCAAAAUAUAUGAGUUUACUCUAAGGUUAUAAACUUUGAAGAUACUAAGGAUACUAUCAACUUUAAGGUAUGCAUAUAUUCCCCUUCACAGGUAAGCACAAAGCAGCCCCAAACUUUGAAGGCAAAACAGGACUUUCAAAAGCUUUCUGAAAGCUUUCAAGAAUUUACUUAAGCCAUUCCUAUAAAGAAAAAAUACAAAUUUUGGUGAUCAAAUAAGGAUACUUAAGAAAACAUGAGGCAUACUGGCUUUCAGCAUCUGGGAAGGAAUGUGAUAUGCUACAACAAAGAAAGCAGUCAUCUCAAAAAAAUAUCAUGAAAAAGCAGAAAGGAUUCACCUGGAUUACCUAAUUUUGAGAAGAAAACCAGACCUGGACAGAGUUCUGAUGUUUUCAAUCAGACAAAGUGUACAGCGGCUUCAAAGGGAAGUUUGCCUGGGCAUCAGCUAAAGGAAUGUUCCUUGAUCUGCCUGGACAUUAGCGUGGCAUUAAUCAUGAUUCCUCUGUAAGAUUAAUAAUGAUGACAUGCCUUUUUUUAUUUCCUUACAUAGCACAGCUAGUUGAAGAAUCAGGCUGAAAAAUUAGUCAUAAUAAUUAAACAGGGGAUGAUUCCUGAAUAAUUAGGGUAAGUUACUUGAGAAUAGACUGUGUUACAAAUUACUACAAAACAAAAUAUGCUGAUUUAUACACAGAAAACAAAACCCACAUGCAGCUCCACGGCAGAAGGGAACAUCACUGCGUACUCUAUGUUUUCCAUGUUACGGAACCACCUGUAUUAAUAUCACCAUUAUUAGAACCUUAAGUUCAGCUGCUUUACAGAAUGUAAGUCUGCGGCGGAAGAGAUUCUGACCAUGAAAGAUUAAACAGUUGGCUCAGCUCCACAAAGCUAACUGGUGGUAGAGACCGUUCUCCUGUUCUCUAGCCUCGUCUAUCAUGACUUACAAGAUGAAAAAAAAUAGUGUCUUAUGGGCCAGGCCUGGGAUUCACAGCUCAAAACAGUGCUUGGUGGCUUGCUCCCACUCUUGCUUCAGUCUCCAGAGUUCUUUCCUCUUUCCAGGUGCAGGAUUUACUCAGGGUUGGAAAAUGACGCACCUUCACACUGAUCACAGCCCCUUCUUACACAUCUGCCAGGGCAGGGUGCCAGCCUGUGCCAGAGGGUGCCCAGCACUGUACGGCAGCCGUGGGGUAGCAGAGGGAAAGCAGUUUGCACCCUUCACCCUGCCCAAAGCCCACUCACAGCAUCCUCUCAGGGAGCUUAGCUCAAAAUCACAGCAGGCUGCAAACGUUCAAACGACUUCAGGCACUGGACAACCCCCAGCCACGCAGCUCAGUUUGCCCUGCAAGCAAAGCCAGGAGGAAGAAACCAGAGUUAGACCUGCCAAGGACUAGAUGACAACUUCAAUAUUCAGCCAGAGGAAGGGGCAGGGGCUGUGCAGCUGGUGCAGAAGAUGACAAGCCCUGAGUCACAGCCUGGCCUUUGCCAACCCUACAGCAGCAGCAGGGCUCACCUGAAAGUGUAUUUUCCCUGCCUUGUGUAGCAGGGUGGUAAGUUCCCCGUAUUUGGCUGGCUUCUCUGCAAGGGACUGCAGAGGUGACGAGUCCGCAGCACCUGGGAACACCUUAUAGCCCCUGCAUGGCUGCACAGCAAUGUGAUUUAUGUUUCAAUUCCGAUUAAAUAGUUACCAGAGAAAAGACCAUUUCCAAACAAUUUCUAAACAGAGCACAGCUAGGCAAAGGAGUAAGCCUUUGCAAUACCAAAAGAUGGUGAGGGGGCUGGAGCCCCUCUCCUGUGGAGACAAGCUGGGAGAGCUGGAGUUGCUCUUAGAGGGGGGAGACCUUAGAGCAGCUCCCAGUACCUAAAGGGGAUGACAGAAAAGCUAAAAGAGGGGCUUUUUACAGUGGCAUGUAAGGGUGGUGAGGCACUGGCACAGGCUGCCCAGAGAGGUGGUACAUGCCCCAUCCCUGGGGGUGCUCAAGGCCGGGCUGGAUGGGGCUGGGGGCAACUGGUCCGGUGGCAGGUGUCCCUGCUCGUGGCGGGGGGUGGGACUGGGUGAUCUUUAUGGUCCCUUCCAACCCAAACCGUUCUGUGGUUCUAUGAAGUUACACAAUCACAAUACUAUUAUGUCUUUGUAGGGGGAGAAGGGGAAGUAGAACAACACCACAGGCAGACAUAGAGCGGUACGGACAGGAACGUUUAUAAGUGACAGCAUGUUCAAUCACGGGUCACAUCCCAUUGCUUCUCACUACGUUGCAAUGGUUGGUAUGAGCAAUACCCCCGGCCAGAAAGGGAGCUGCUCACCAAGUAACACUGCUUCAAUUUUCAAAACAAGGCAGAGUCAGAGCACAAAUUAUGAUCAAGUCUAUGCCAAUAGUUACAGAUUUUGUCGUGGAUUAGGCAUUUGAUUAUGUUUUGAAUAUCCAGAUACCAAUCUGGUCCACUAGGUUGAAUUUGCCUACAGUAGGUUACUGUAGAGAUGAGUUAAUGGAUCCUUGUCUUGGAAUAUCCUAUGUUCCAAUAGAACCUCAUCCUGAGGCUCAGGACCCUGCAAGAGUGGUAAAAACAGUAUACCAAAAAGUUGAGGAGAAAAGUAAAAAUACCUGCAGACUUCACACAGUUCCACAGCUCCUUCCACUUCCCAAAGGAAUACAAAUAAGGCGUAUCUAGUGUUUUAAAGAACAUCAGGUACACAGGGCAAGUAAGACAGGGCUCCACAGAGAGCCUGGAGGCUGAGAGUGGCCAAGGCUCACAUCUGUGCCAGCGCACAUCAGCUGCAGCCCAGGAUGGAAAACGUGUAAUGAUCUUCAUAUAGCUUCACAGCUUUCAGCUUUCCACAAAGUUCUUUGAGGCAAGUCUCUACACCCCCUCUGCCAUACCACCCACUUGCUCCAGCCUGGGAAGGUCACUGAGGCAGACAGACCACAGCAAACUGUGUGUGUGAUCUCUGUGAUCACCCCAUUGAUACCAAGUGAUUAUUAAUAUCCCUGCACAAGCAGUAAGCUGUGCCUUUGGCUUAUUUGUCAAAACUGAAAGGAGCUGGCACCCAACUGUAUUUUCUUGUGCUUUCAGCUUAAAAAAAAAAAAAAAAAAAAAAGAUACUCAUGGCCAGUGGGUUCAAUAGAAAAUGAUGGGUGAUUUUCCUGUGUCCCAUUAAAUAAAAAUUAAUACCAUUGAGCUUGAAUUGAGCCUUUGGCUCCUGCUGAAAUUCUGAGGCUUCCUUCUUUGGAAAGAAGACAAUUAUACACUUCAUGCAGAAGAUCAAGACAGUGGAAUAAGACAGGAGCUGUUGGGAAGAUCACCACAAAGCCGCGUCGAGCCAAAGAAAGCUUCUCUCCAGUACCGAAAAGAAUGAAUAAAAACUACAAGACCUGAGGUUAUGAAAGAGAAGAGGAAAGUCACUCCCCUUCUUUCAAAUCAAGAGUGAAGCACAGCAUCAGACUUAGCCUUAAGCACAAUCAAAAUGGGGGAGGGAAAAAAAAAAAAAAAAAAGA